ACUGUCUAUUUCAUAUCUUCUCAUAUCUUUCCGAUUUGCAACUCCCAAGCCCAAACAAACUGUUAGUGAAUCCACCCGCACCAUAGUAAAAUCAGGGCCGGGUUGGUAUAAAACUUAUACUAGUGAAUAGUUGUAGUAUUUUCUUCAGUAUAAUGGAAAGGCAUAUAUUCGUACACGUAGACCAAAAGCAGCCCGGAUCGGCCUUUAUAUAAACAUGCAUAAACAAGGGUUUUCAGCAGCAUAGCAGCUAGUAGAGAAAACAGCCUGAAUCCAGGUUUCUACUAGUCUCUUUCUCCCAUUUCCUAAUGGAUCUGGCCGGUCAUAAGUUGAAGAUAAGCAGCCAAUCCAAGAUGCUGCUUUCGGCUGCAUUUGCACCUGCACCUCCACUUCUUUCAUUUACUUCUUUCAGUUCUUUGUCUCAAUUAUAUAUAUUUUAUCCAUCUUUUUGUUUCCCUUCAAUAAUGCUUCAUUAAUUUACUUUUUUCUCCCUUGUUUUCCUUUUCAUUUCAUGAAAGUGAACUCUGGACGCAGCCAGCAUAAAGGGCUACUACUAGUUCACUAAUCCAGCAACAAAUCCUCUACCAUGACCCCCCCCCCCCAUCUUUCCCCACUCGAAAAUUAUCAUAUAUAUUAAAGGGACGACAAAGAAGAGAAAGAAGAGGUGCGGGUGCAGAUGCAGGUGAACGCCAUCUUGGUCUAGAUUUCUGUACUAUGUAUUUUGUUUUGGAACAAGCCAAAUGUACUACGACAUAUGCAGCUUCCUUAGCCUCCAAGAUAUGUGGAUCUAUGAGCUUCAAAGACUAAUGAGCUUUUGAGAAAGUCUUUGGCGGACAUGCAUUUAAACAUCUCUGCCGGAUCAGUUGCGGCCUCUCCCAUAUGAAUAAAGAUGCCUGCUUACUGCCUCGGUGAAUCCAAUUAAUUGGCAUAUCCACCAUGAUCUCCAAAUAAGAACCUCGCAACUUCAUCAGCAGAAAUUUCCACAUCGCUCGCACAAGUUAAAAUAGGUUUAGACAUUGAAAUUGAACCAGACAUUUCGUCUCCUGCAAAAAUUUGGAAGGGAUUGAAAUUUGAUUAGUACGAUCGAGGUGGAAAGACGAUGGCUGCAGGUGCAAUAAAAGUCGGACGAGACAGAUAAGGAUAUGGUAUGACUUUAGGACCAUUUUGAUUUUUGGGGGCUGCAGGAUUUGUGUUAAGAACAGCAUCAACAGAGGCUUUGGCUUGGAUCAAGAGCCACUCCACAGUUUGGCCAGCAGUACGAUGACCAAGCCUUUUUCUGAGCUCAAACACACGAUCAGCACAUCCUAUUGGCAAAACAAUUCUUCUGUCUUUGCCACGCACGUUCGAAUGUCGAUCAGAAGAAGAAGCCUUUUUGCAAAAACUGUUCAUUCUCGGACCUACAAAUUUGGAGGGCUUUGGCACAUUUGAUGGGGCGUUUGAAGAGACCAUUUUCUGAAUCGAUUAGCUUAAGCUUCUUUGGUGCUCGAGUAUUAUUGGCAGGAGAAGUAGUAGUUAUAUUUAUACAAGUACAAUGAGGUUGAAUUUGCAAUGCAAUAUGACAUCAAUUCAUAUUCAUAUUUUCUUUUUAUUAGUAUACUAAAAUAAUAACG